CGCACGCGGCAAUCUAGGAGGUGGUUUCGGGUGACGGAGUCCGUCGCCGGCUGGGCUUCGGUGAAUUCCUUUGUCUUGGUCGCUGGCCGCGGCGUGCGGCGUGCGCCGUGCGGAGGAGGUGCGCUGGCGGAGCUCUGUGUCUGUGCAUUUGCGGACAGAAAGUUGUGGAAGAAAUGGCAAUAAACGCCAGCGGUUACAGAGCCAGCGCGGCCCCAGCAGCAAGAGUGGUGCCACCAAGCUCCUUCCCCAUGACUCCACUCAGCAUCUCAGCAUCCAGCUGCCAGAGCUUUGAAAUGUGUCUCACCAGCUUCACUGUACCUGUUCAGAGCACCAGCAACAGCUGAGUGGUGCUGCCUCCUCCACCCCAGUUGGAGUCCCGGCCCCACGAGAACUUCCUCUGGGUUCAGA